GGGGGUGACAUGGCUUCGACAGGGGUAGAAAGCCCUAAGCUGCACGCGCGCCUGGGCAAGCGCUAAAACGGCCCGCUAAAAAUAAACGCAGCAAAUAACAAAUCUUACAGCCCAGCAGUAGCUAGAGCUGCUGCUUAAUUAAGUAGUUUCGGGCGCCUCCGCCCACUGAGGCUUGCCACCGCCUCGGGCGGAGAGUAAAGAGUGGCUAGGAGUGUGACUCUCGGGUGUGGGUUGCACUCCGAAAACAAAAACACCCCUCUCUUCCGUAAGGCUUUGUCCGUUGAGCCUGGAAGAGCAGUAUAAUCAACGGACUAAGCGUGUAGACGCUUAGGGUAAUCUACUUCUGGACUCGGGUUCGAUUCCCGACACCUCCACCA
rnacentral:tmRNA from 1 species